GAAAAAAUGAUAUAUGAAAUUGGGGCUCAUCUAUCAAAACUACUAGACAACCAGCCCAAACUGAUUAAAGGAAAAAUAACAAAUCCUUCUUUGCUUCUUUUCUCUUAGUUAAAUUUGAGCAGUUCUAUGGACAACAGCAGAGAGAUCUGCACCGGUUUUGCAAAGCUGUCCCGCAGCUGUGGAGAGAGAAGAACUACUCUGUCCCUACAGGACAUCGGAAACUCUUACCAUUUUCUCACAAACCUCACUUCCCAAAUAACCCCUGGAAAUCAAAAACAGAAAGCAAGGCUAGUGACAACCUACCUGCAGAGUAUAGAAGCGGCCGUCCUUGCCACUGCGUCCAGAAAUCCAAAGGAAACACAGAAGGAGGAAGGGCCUUUUAUGGGUAAGGAAUCACAAGGAUGGUAAGCACAGCUCCCCUUCCCUGGUGCCAGGCUCUGUUCUACCGAGUUUGUGUUAUCACCUCACAAAAUCCUCCUAGUAGUGCUGGGGUAAGUG
rnacentral:lncRNA from 1 species